GAUGAAGAACGUAGCGAAAUGCGAUAAGUAAUGUGAAUUGCAGAAUUCAGUGAAUCAUCGAAUCUUUGAACGCACAUUGCGCCCGCCAGUAUUCUGGCGGGCAUUCCUGUUCGAGCGUCAUUUCAACCAUCAAGCCCCCGGCUUGUGUUGGGGACCUGCGGCUGCCGCAGGCCCUGAAAACCAGUGGCGGGCUCGCUAGUCACUCCGAGCGUAGUAAUACAUCUCGCUCAGGGCGUGCUGCGGGUUCCGGCCGUUAAAAAGCCUUAUUUACCCAAGGUUGACCUCGGAUCAGGUAGGAAGACCCGCUGAACUUAAGCAUAUCAAUAAGCGGAGGA
rnacentral:misc_RNA from 1 species